rnacentral:rRNA from 1 species
GACGAACGCUGGCGGCGUGCCUAAUACAUGCAAGUCGAGCGAGCGGAACUAACAGAUUUACUUCGGUAAUGACGUUAGGAAAGCGAGCGGCGGAUGGGUGAGUAACACGUGGGGAACCUGCCCCAUAGUCUGGGAUACCACUUGGAAACAGGUGCUAAUACCGGAUAAGAAAGCAGAUCGCAUGAUCAGCUUUUAAAAGGCGGCGUAAGCUGUCGCUAUGGGAUGGCCCCGCGGUGCAUUAGCUAGUUGGUAAGGUAAAGGCUUACCAAGGCGAUGAUGCAUAGCCGAGUUGAGAGACUGAUCGGCCACAUUGGGACUGAGACACGGCCCAAACUCCUACGGGAGGCAGCAGUAGGGAAUCUUCCACAAUGGACGCAAGUCUGAUGGAGCAACGCCGCGUGAGUGAAGAAGGUGUUCGGAUCGUAAAGCUCUGUUGUUGGUGAAGAAGGAUAGAGGUAGUAACUGGCCUUUAUUUGACGGUAAUCAACCAGAAAGUCACGGCUAACUACGUG